rnacentral:rRNA from 1 species
CCCUUAGAUGUUCUGGGCCGCACGCGUGCUACACUGAGUGGAUCAGCGGGUCAGGUUGCGCGAAAGUGUUUCCUAAUCUUGAAAUCCGCUCGUGAUGGGGAUUGACGGUUGCAAUUUUCCGUCAUGAACGAGGAAUACCUUGUAAGCGCGGGUCAUCAUCCCGCGCUGAAUACGUCCCUGCCCUUUGUACACACCGCCCGUCGCUCCUACCGAUUGAGUGGUCCGGUGAGGCUUUGGGAUCUGAGCAAAGAGAGCGUUUCGCUCGUUUUGCCCGGAAAACUCAGCCGAACCUUAUCAUUUAGAGGAAGGAGAAGUCGUAACA